UGUCACGUAGCCCCCAAAACCCAGGACUGAGCAGCUGAAAGUGCCAAGGCAUCUUCUCCUAGAAGAACAAAGGAGGCCAAGUGGGGAGUGAAGGAAACAGUGUCUACAGUGGUCCGUUUCCAAGACAAAGUGCCUUGAAUCGGCUUAAGUCAGCAAACUACAGAAGAAACAGGAGGCCCUAGGCCCCUGCCUGGAUCGCCAGUGCCUGCUUGUCGGCCUCCCCUUCUCCCUCCCUUCCCCCCG
rnacentral:lncRNA from 1 species